UACGGGGGGGGGCAAGCGUUUGUUCGGAAUUACUGGGCGUAAAGGGCUCGUAGGCGGCCAACUAAGUCAGACGUGAAAUCCCUCGGCUUAACCGGGGAACUGCGUCUGAUACUGGAUGGCUUGAGUUUGGGAGAGGGAUGCGGAAUUCCAGGUGUAGCGGUGAAAUGCGUAGAUAUCUGGAGGAACACCGGUGGCGAAGGCGGCAUCCUGGACCGACAUUGACGCUGAGGAGCGAAAGCGUGGGGAGCGAACAGG
rnacentral:rRNA from 1 species